UGAGGUGUAGCUUAGUGGUAGAGCGAUUGCCUAACAUGCAUGAGGCCCUGGGUUCCAUUCCCAGCACCUCGA